GUGGGGAAACAGCAACUUCAAGCUGUAAUUCACCAGGGCAAGGUAAAAUGCCAUUUUAACUGUGCAUAUGUUUUAUAUUGUUUUUGAACAGGCUGUAGGUGCGUGUGGCAGGGCAGCAAGAUAAACCCCUUGGAUGCGCUGCUAAAGGGGUGGCUCCCCUCUCCCUGCUUCUCGGCAAAGCGGCUGGGGGGCCAGACACUCAGCAAGGAGCUUAGCUGCAGGCCUUAACGAGGGCAGGCUCAGGGAAACCAGCUGGGCUGGUGCUUGGGAGGAGAUAUAAGCCCAGGGAGAGGCUCAGUGGGAGGCUAGCCAGGGGAGAAGACAGGGGGACUGCAGCUCUGUCUCUACUGGCUGCAGGAGGCCUCAAGGGUGAGAGACCCAGGGAAGGGUCAGUGGGGGAUCGGUGUCGGGCGAAUUGGGAUUGCACUAAGCACUGUAAAUAAAAAGAGAUGGGUGAAAUACCUGAGAGAGGCGUCGGGACCCAUUUCUUUGGCCAGCCUAAGCACGGAGCACAACAGGGAGGGAAGCUGUGCAGACCCUGUGACAGUGUGUCUCUGUAAACAUGCAGUUUAAACAGUUAAGGAAUAUUAUUAACUUAAAUGUUGUUGAUCAUUAGGCUGAAGACAUAAAUACAAGUGUGUAGGGAAGCAGGGGGAGAAACAGAAGAAACAGAUACCACCGUGCCUUUAGUCUCUGGUGUGCAAAGGACAUGCAAGCACUUUUUAAAAAAUGGAUGAACACCAUCUGCCAUUGAGGGAGCAACCAGCAAGUCUAGACAAAGGUAAGAUGUGCUGCGAUAGUCACAGUGAAUUGCAGGAUGACUACAAACCUAAAUCUCCGGCCUUGAGGGAGAGGAUCCCCACCCCCAGAGAGGUGAUGGCUGGAGGCCUGAGACCAACAGAGAAGUCCUUGAGCAGACCACAGGAGGCAGCGGGGGACAGGCGCAGCUUGAUGAUCACCUUGCCAAAGUGAAACGAGAUGUCCUGCUCUGUCUAUGACAUCACCACCCCAGAAAAUGUGAUGGUUGCUCACAGGGAUACAGUGUGGUUUGUCAUAUGCGAUGAUGAUAAACAGUGUCCUCAUCAGUGGAAGUAACUGGUACAGAGAAUUUCUGCACAAACUGGUGUUCUGCAAUGUCCACGUAUCAAUAAAAAGUUCUAACCUCCUCUAACAUUGGAGGAAAAUGGGAUUUAUUUAUUUAUUUAUUUACAUUAGGACCAGGGAACAACUCCUCCAAACUCUAGGCUAGUGCCACAAUGCUAGAAAAUGCAUAAGCCCCACCAGGAGAUUUAACUAACUUUUCUACCCCUAUGUCGUAGCUUGGGAGCACCUCUGGCUGUUCAGCUUGGCUAGCCCUAGCUUUGUUCAUAUAAUCCACCAAUUCAGGUAUGGAUGAUUAAUAGCCUCAUUGCAGGAAGAAAUGCCCAUUCUUAGCUCCCAAAGGUUAUUUCAAAAGGCUUGUUUGGUGAUGCUGUUUCAGAUUGUAUUUCCACUAACCCCACCUCCCAGGCCCCUGGGAGAUAGUUAAAACUGUAUAAAUUCAAAGUAGGGUUUUGUGGAAAAUCCCCAAACUGGCAUCACUGGAUUGAUGUAAAAGUCACCACAGCUCUUUUCUUUUCUCCUCAUACAUCUACAAGGUUGGAGAGGUGAGAUGAGGUUUCCACUCACCUCUUAAAUUUAGUGGGCUGACCCAACUAUUUCACCAGAAACCCUUUUCCCUUCCCCAGCUAGAACUUCUUCAACCCUGUAAAAUCUGUCUUGUUCAGGUUUAACUUUUUUUGGUAAUUCUUGAGACCGAAAAGAAUUGGUCUUGUCCUUGCAAUCUUAAACCCCUAUACUGGCCUCCGGCCCUUGAUUAAGGCUUCAUCCCCUAUGAAUAGUUCAUCAGUAAACAUCUGCUGAUAACCUUUUUCAAUCCUUCUGGCUUUAUAUAGCCUCCUGUGGCCUGUUUCUGAAAGGGGACCCAGACUUCUUUAUUUUAAAAACUGUCUCCACAGUGGCUGCAUCUGCAUGAUUAACCUCCCCAGGUCUGGUACUGAUAAUUCUGUGAAUGUUUUGGCUGUAAUGCUUUAUAAGCUCCAGUAACAUCACUAUAUAAAGAGGUGAUGUGGGGUGUAAAUAUCCUCUCUCCAAGUUCUGUUAAAUCAUUCUGCCAUCCUCAUUUUUGGAUCAUGAUUACUAACCAAAGGAUCAGUUGUAUGCUGCUUUCACAGAUUGUUUUAAAGUUCUUUCCCUGGCUCAGGCUGUAGUUUUAGGAGAAUGUACCCAUCAUCAACUAUAGUUUUGAAAGAUCUUUACAAGUUUUACCACCUGUCUUGCUUUUUAAGCCUAAGCCCUAGGCAUAUUUAGACAGAAUGUCCAUCACCUUUAAGAUGGACCUAAAACCAUUGUCAUUUGGAGACUUGCAGCAUAUCCACCUACUCUGCCUACCAUUUUGUAUCCACAUCUGAAACAACAGUGUUCCCUUCUAAACACAAAAUUUUUAAAAACCAUUUCUGCCCUUAAUGAAAGCAAAAGAAUCUAAGCAAAAUAUUUAAAUGACGUCCCUUUAACCUUGCUUUUUCUCAACUUUAUUAGAAUUGGAUUUGAAAUAACUGAGCAGUUGAAAUUGUUCUAAUGCAGAAAGAAUGUCAAUACACAGGCUGGCAACAAACAUUUAGUGUCACUUAGUGUAUUAGUGACAGGAGGUUUCUGGUUUUUGUUUUGUUUUAAAACUAUGUAGAAGCAAGUGAAGGAAGGUGCCUCUAGCUUGUGGGAGAAAACAGAUCUGAGCAAACUGUAUAGUGACUGAUGUUUGCAGCUGCUAAAACCAUUAAAAGAAAAUGAGGGGCUUGUACAGAGAUAAGAGUUCAGCCAUAAUAAAAACAUUCAAAUAUGCUUCUGAGAAUGACAAACGAUUUUGGAGGGGAAGAGGG